rnacentral:lncRNA from 1 species
UAGAUCUUCAUUUCAUCCUCAUAACAAUGAGGUUUUAGAUACCAUUCGGUAUCUAGCAUUUGGUAUUUGCUAGAUACUAAUAAUAUCCUCAUUUUACAGUUAAAGAAAUUGACACUAAACUACCUGCUUUACCUAUAUAGCUCUGCAUUUGCAACAACACUGCAAGAAAGUGAAGCUGAUGAUACAGGAGGUAGAAAGAAAUUAUUUAGGCAGAUAGUGAGAGCCCAAGAGUCCUCAGCAGAGCUUCCCCUCUAACAAAAAGCAGCCCUCAAAAUCAUUUCUUUUCAUAACAAAGAGAAGCCUGAAAAAUUGAGUUGCAAACAUAGAUACAUAGAUACACAAGAUGGAAGCUGUCACAGGGGAAUGACGGCAGCUGUGCCAAUAGAAAAGGAAAAGGACUACCUGGGGGCGGCCAUGUCCAACAUGGAGGCUCCAUCUUCUCUUUUUUUGUUAUCACGUGUACAGUAAUAAAGAAAUGGGCAACAUGGUGCACCUCAGGCAGAGACGCGCCUGGAUAAUAAAAAAAGGUUAGGAUGGGGGAUACCAGAGAUUCGUGCCCUAUGCAAAUAGCACAACUGGUCUAACCAGUCUUUCUUGCCCUUUCUUGCCUAUGUAGAUCAGACGCCGCCUCCCCACCAGCUCAUCUAUAAAACCUCCUGCAUUUCACCGCGGAUCCGGCAACCCAUUUUUCUGAGACCCCUCUCUGCAGCAGAGAACUCUUCUCUUUCUUUUGCAUAUUAAACUUCCG